rnacentral:rRNA from 1 species
AACGUAGGACGCAAGCGUUAUCCGGAGUUACUGGGCGUAAAGAGCGUGUAGGCGGCCAAACAGGUCCGUUGUGAAAACUGGAGGCUUAACCUCCAGACGUCGACGGAAACCGUGUGGCUAGAGUCCGGAAGAGGAGAGUGGAAUUCCUGGUGUAGCGGUGAAAUGCGCAGAUAUCAGGAAGAACACCAAUGGCGAAGGCAGCUCUCUGGGACGGUACUGACGCUGAGACGCGAAAGCGUGGGGAGCGAACAGG